CCCUCCACCAGUCACCACCCAUCCUCAUUCAAGGGGCAUCUUCUUGAACUGAGGAGAAGAGAGGGGAGGUUGAGGUUGUGGUUGUGGUUGAUGCAGAAGAAUUUUGAUGAUCUUCACAAGUUCAUCCAAGCACCAUCUAAAGCUCAAACAGGCCUACGGUUUUCUUCAAAACUAGGCUUAUUCAUGAUGGUGCUUGGACGAAUUUGCUAAGAACAUUAAGUUCUUGAAAGUAAAGCCAAAGGGGCAGCUCAGUUCUGCAAGGUUUUUUCUGCUAUGUUGAUGGAUCCACCAUAACUGCAAGGUUUUUUCUUACUUUCUUUCUUUUCUUGCUUUGUUUCUUUUACUGAAGAGAAUAAAAAACUAUCUAUGAAAUCAUAGUAUUUGUGGUUUAGUUGCUUCUUGAAAUAGAGGCCGGGAAGCUACCAGAGACACAGAUCUCCACGUUGAAUCCCUAAACCUGGAAGUUCUUUUUUGCUUCUUCAAACCAUGGGGGUGCGGAAAUCGACCUCCCACUUCUGACCUCUGUGUGAGCCAGUUACACCGGCGACUGACCGUUUCUUGUGGGGUUUUCAUAACACAUAUGACAUGCUUUCAGUUUGUAUGGCAAUCGGCCAACCCUACUUGGUGGAGUGGAAUCGAACCGAUGUUAAUCAGAAGGGUGGAUGCAGGGUACUGCUUGACCGUUCGGAUCUGCUAGGGAUGAAAGAGUGGGAUGUGCCGGCCCAAAAUCAAUCAUAAACAUUAUUGAUGGUUAUUUUACUUGACAUUUGAUCAUCGUCUCAAAUAAAUUAUCUAUGUUUCCAUCAAUAUCAAUCAAGACAGGCUGGUUGGUUUUUGGCUUUUUAUACCGGAAAAUAUUCUGGUAGAAAUAAAAAUAAGAUCAAAAUAUAAAGGAAUAAAAAAUCGAAUUACAAAUAAGAUCAAGUUAUAAUAGAAGGAGAUCAAAAUUGAUAGAAUUAUCGGGAAAACAUUGAUUUUUGAGAAAAAUGACAAUCACCUAUCUUUAGAAGGACUUUUCGUCAAGCAUGUAUUACGAGUCGAACCAACCACCUCGCUCAUGUUUCAUAUUUGGUUGAACCCAUUGGCAUCUGGAUUGUAAUGUCUUUUCGUGACCUUACUUCAUCUUCCAUUGGUCAAGCUUUAUGUCAGUGUAAAGCAUUUUAUUUUUUGUAAAAAUUUUAAUUAUGUAAGGUUAUGUUUAUUUUUUU